UUGAACGCUGGCGGCAUGCUUUACACAUGCAAGUCGAACGGUAACAGGCCUUCGGGUGCUGACGAGUGGCGAACGGGUGAGUAAUGCAUCGGAACGUACCCAGAGGUGGGGGAUAACGCAGCGAAAGCUGUGCUAAUACCGCAUGUGAUCUGAGGAUGAAAGCGGGGGACCGAGCAGCAAUGUUUGGCCUCGCGCCUUUGGAGCGGCCGAUGACGGAUUAGCUAGUUGGUGGGGUAAAGGCCUACCAAGGCGACGAUCCGUAGCUGGUCUGAGAGGACGACCAGCCACACUGGGACUGAGACACGGCCCAGACUCCUACGGGAGGCAGCAGUGGGGAAUUUUGGACAAUGGGCGCAAGCCUGAUCCAGCAAUGCCGCGUGCGGGAAGAAGGCCUUCGGGUUGUAAACCGCUUUUGGCAGGAACGAAACGGUGUCCGCUAAUACCGGGCGCUAAUGACGGUACCUGCAGAAUAAGCACCGGCUAACUACGUG
rnacentral:rRNA from 1 species